rnacentral:lncRNA from 1 species
CAGUUGUAGAGGGAGCCGGAGAAGACAAAGAAGGAGGAGGAGAUGGAGGGGAGUCAACAGUAGCUGGCGAUGGUGCAUUAGCCGGUGGAGAUACUGGAGGUUUAACUGUUGGAGAAGGAGCAGAUACUGGAGGAUUAACGGUUGGAGAAGGCGCAGAUACUGAAGGUGCUGGAGUUGCCGCAUUAGGUGGAGUUGCCCCAGGCGAUUUGGUUGGGGGAGAUACAGGUGAUGAU